AGCUCCAAUAGCGUAUAUUAAAGUUGUUGCAGUUAAAAAGCUCGUAGUUGAACCUUGGGCUUGGUUGGCCGGUCCGCCUUUUUGGCGAGUACUGGACCCAACCGAGCCUUUCCUUCUGGCUAACCUUUCGCCCUUGUGGUGUUUGGUGAACCAGGACUUUUACUUUGAAAAAAUUAGAGUGUUCAAAGCAGGCCUUUGCUCGAAUAUAUUAGCAUGGAAUAAUAGAAUAGGACGUUAUGGUUCUAUUUUGUUGGUUUCUAGGACCAUCGUAAUGAUUAAUAGGGACGGUCGGGGGCAUCAGUAUUCAGUUGUCAGAGGUGAAAUUCUUGGAUUACCUGAAGACUAACUACUGCGAAAGCAUUUGCCAAGGACGUUUUCA
rnacentral:rRNA from 1 species